rnacentral:snRNA from 1 species
UCUGACAUGUGUGCGAGUCAA